ACUUGGGGCCCUUUAGUUUCGCAUCUGGACCUUCGAUAUUCACAUCAGGAACAUCAACGUCCACUUUGGGUCCUGAGACAUCAAUGUCAGCCUUGGGCAGGUUCACAUCCACAUCUGGGCCCUCUCCUUUGAAGCCAGGCAUGCUGAACUUGGGCAUUUUCACUUUGGGCAUUUUUAAGUGCCAGUCUGGGCCUUGAACGUCCACAUCUGGGACAUCAAUGUCCACUUUGGGGCCCUUGAUGUCGCCUUCCACUUUGGGCAGAGAAACGUCCACGUCGCCCUUCAUCUUUGGACCUUUCAGAUUCAGGUCAACUUCAGGCAUAGAGAUCUUCGGUGCCUUGAGGUUGUCAAUGUCCACUUUGGGUCCUGAGACAUCAAUGUCAGCUUUGGGCAAAUUAACAUCCACUUCUGGGCCCUCUCCUUUAAAUCCUGGCAUGCUGAAUUUGGGCAUUUUCACCUUGGGCAUCUUCAGGUGCCAGUCUGGGCCAUGAACAUCCACAUCUGGGGCAUCAAUGUCCAUUUUGGGUCCUUUGAUGUCAACAUCUGGCACUUUCAUUUCACCUUCUACCUUGGGCACAGACACAUCCAUAUCCCCUUUGACUUUGGGGCCUUUCAGGUGUAAGUCCACAUCAGGCAUGGAGAUCUUGGGGGCCUUGAAGUGCAUCUCAGGCAUCUUAAACUUGGGCCCUUUCAACUUUGCAUCAGGACACUCC
rnacentral:lncRNA from 1 species